rnacentral:rRNA from 1 species
GACAGAGGGUGCAAACGUUGUUCGGAAUUACUGGGCGUAAAGCGCAUGUAGGCGGCCAAGCAGGUCGGAUGUGAAAUCCCUCGGCUCAACCAAGGAAGUGCAUUCGAAACCGCAUGGCUGGAGUCCCGGAGAGGGUAGUGGAAUUCUCGGUGUAGAGGUGAAAUUCGUAGAUAUCGAGAGGAACACCGGCGGCGAAAGCGGCUACCUGGACGAGGACUGGACGCUGAGAUGCGAAAGCGUGGGGAGCAAACAGG